rnacentral:rRNA from 1 species
GAUGAACGCUGGCGGCGUGCUUAACGCAUGCAAGUCGAACGGAAAGGCCACAGCUUGCUGUGGUACUCGAGUGGCGAACGGGUGAGUAACACGUGGGUGAUCUGCCCUGUACUUCGGGAUAAGCUUGGGAAACUGGGUCUAAUACCGGAUAGGAAUCACAUGUGGGUGUGUGGUUGGAAAGCUUUUGCGGUAUGGGAUGAGCUCGCGGCCUAUCAGCUUGUUGGUGGGGUAAUGGCCUACCAAGGCGUCGACGGGUAGCCGGCCUGAGAGGGUGUACGGCCACAUUGGGACUGAGAUACGGCCCAGACUCCUACGGGAGGCAGCAGUGGGGAAUAUUGCACAAUGGGCGCAAGCCUGAUGCAGCGACGCCGCGUGGGGGAUGACGGCCUUCGGGUUGUAAACUCCUUUCGUCAGGGACGAAGCGAAAGUGACGGUACCUGGAUAAGAAGCACCGGCUAACUACGUG